AGAUAAACAAUAUAAAUUAGCUCCUUCUUUCAGGGGCCUGGCGCAAAUGACGUCUCUGUGAUAUCUUGGCGCCGUUCAGCAAGCCGCUGUCUUUAUAGCUAGAACGGCAAAUCUGAAAAGAAGAAAAUUGGCAAAACUAUCCAAUCCUUGUAUUGAUAAAAAAUAUGUUGACAGAGUGAAGCUUCAAGCGCAAGUACAAAACAAGUUCUCUUUCAAAUAUGCGGCGAAUGUGCUUCCUAACCUGAAAGACCUCCCUUCUAGAAAACACACCAAGCCUCGGGCAUCGUGUGUGGUUAAGAGGAGGCCUGGUGGGCUCACUCUCCAGUGUUCCUGCCUGUCUUAGAACGUGCCACCAGCAGCAGCACCUGAGCAUGGCACAGCGUGUGAGCCUUCUGGUCCUUCUCCUGGGAGUGCUGGCAUUUCAGAUGAAAGGGGUGCUUGGUUUGUCAGAUGAGAGCAGUGACAGCAGUCCUGGGCACCGAAAGAGCUACUACGUGGUUUGGAUGCUGCCAACUCAAAGCCUGAGGGCGCGACCACAGAACAUUGAUGGCAGUACGGUGCUGCGCUUGCUGGCUCUGUGGCCUUCCACUAUGGUCAGGGCGCCUGUCAGCACAAUGGCAUGCAUCCAGCCUCAGCCAGCACCCAUCAUCCCUAGGCCGAGUCCGUCCCCCCCGGCCCCUCCCUUGUUGGCAAGCACAGUUCCCAAAGGCCCUGUCCUCACCCCCUCUGGCCAGUCCAUGACAUCAGAGAGAAACAGAGAAGCCUCUGCACCUGGGAGCCUGGGGACCUGCUGCGGUAUGCCGGCCAGGUUUCCCCUGACACCCCAAGUCCUGGCUAUUCCAGGUCCCCCCACAAAGGGAGCACUUCACAGCGCCAGCUUCCCUACCUCCUCCCCAGUGAAGGAGCCCCGAGGAGAUGUGUAAGCUGGGAGAAGGACCAGACCCACAUCUGCCUGUGCUACUGGCUGUGUGUGGAAGCAACUUCCAAGGGAAGUGUUCAAAGCUCGGGUGGUCACAGUCAAUCACCCCGGUGAUGUAUCCUGUGAACCUAUUUUUAUUACAGGAUUUACCUUAUCAGCUCCUGUAGAAAUGAAGUUCUUCUAUAAGGAAGCCUCGCAGGACCAGGAAAGUGAUGCUGGCACAUAUGCUACAAUUUUGAGGCAAUUUCUCACUGUUACCUAAAAAAUAAAAGAGCAUAACUUCUAAACCAUACUUCUAAACCAUCUCUGAAGUAUCUAAGUUUUUUUUUUCCUUAAGCCAAAUGCAGGCAAAGUGGGAAGCCAUAGGAAUUUGCCAUCCAUUGCCAUGUCCUGUUUUUCCUUUCUUCCUUCCUUCCUUUCUCUUCUUUCUUUCCCUUUCCUUCCUUCCUUCCUUCCUUCCUUCCUUCCUUCCCUCCUUCCUUCCCUCCUUCCUUUCUUUCUUUCUUUUUCUUUCUUUCUUUCUUUUUAGGGCUGAACCCAUGGCGUAUGGAAGUUCCCAGGCUAGGGGUUGAAUCAUAGCUGCAGCUGCCAGCCUACACCGCAGCCACAGCAAGGCAGGAUCCCAGCCAUGUCUGC
rnacentral:lncRNA from 1 species